AUUGAACGCUGGCGGCAGGCUUAACACAUGCAAGUCGAGCGGGGUGAUGGUGCUUGCACUAUCACUUAGCGGCGGACGGGUGAGUAAUGCUUAGGAAUCUGCCUAUUAGUGGGGGACAACAUCUCGAAAGGGAUGCUAAUACCGCAUACGUCCUACGGGAGAAAGCAGGGGAUCACUUGUGACCUUGCGCUAAUAGAUGAGCCUAAGUCGGAUUAGCUAGUUGGUGGGGUAAAGGCCUACCAAGGCGACGAUCUGUAGCGGGUCUGAGAGGGAGAUCCGCCACACUGGGACUGAGACACGGCCCAGACUCCUACGGUAGGCAGCAGUGGGGAAUAUUGGACAAUGGGGGGAACCCUGAUCCAGCAAUGCCGGGUGUGUGAAGAAGGCCUUAUGGUUGUAAAGCACUUUAAGCGAGGAGGAGGCUCUUUUGGUUAAUACCCAAGAUGAGUGGACGUUACUCGCAGAAUAAGCACCGGCUAACUCUGUGCCAGCCGCCGCCGUAA
rnacentral:rRNA from 1 species